CGCAUCUGUGCAUGCAGCAUAUCAAUAAGCGGAGGAAAAGAAACUAACAAGGAUUCCCCUAGUAACGGCGAGUGAAGCGGGAAGAGCUCAAAUUUGAAAUCUUAAAGGGUUUCCCUUUACGAAUUGUAGUUAAAGAAGUGUUUUCUGUUGAGGUUUUGGUAAAAGUUCUUUGGAAUAGGACAUCAUAGAGGGUGAGAAUCCCGUAUUUGACCUUUACUUUCAACUUUGUGAUACACUUUCAAAGAGUCGGAUUGUUUGGGAAUGCAGUCCAAAAUGGGUGGUAAAUUUCAUCUAAAGCUAAAUAUUGGCGAGAGACCGAUAGCGAACAAGUACCGUGAGGGAAAGAUGAAAAGAACUUUGAAAAGAGAGUUAAACAGUACGUGAAAUUGUCAAAAGGGAAGCGUUUGACACCAGUGUUGUUUUUCUGAAAAUCAAUUAAAGAACUGUUUAUGCUAAGUUGUUUAGACUUUAUCAGCUAAUCUGCUUAGUUUUGAGCUUUUCUUUAAUGCACUUUUCAGUUAACAAGUCAACAUCAAUUUCUUUUGCCUGUAAAAAAGCUUGAGGAAGGUGGCUUGAGAUUCGUCUUAAGUGUUUAUAGCCUCUUGCCUAUGCAGUCGGAGAGAUUGAGGUCUGCAGCGUAGAUCCUUCGGGGCUAAAUGCAUUUGUGCUAAGUUAUAGCAUUUUAUAGACAACUUGUUAACUAUGAUUUGUCUUGUAGCUUACUCGCUUAUGUUAUUUUACCUACGCUUAGGAUGUUGAGCGCAUGUCUCUCUCU
rnacentral:rRNA from 1 species